rnacentral:rRNA from 1 species
GGUUUCCGUAGGUGACCUGCGGAAGGAUCAUUAUCGAAUUGGCUUGGACUGUGCUGGCUUCUGCAUGUGCACGUCCAUCUUCAUCCAAUACACCUGUGCAUCUUUGACUUUGAGCCCUCGGGCAAGAAGUAUUACUACACCCUUUGAUUAUGUAUGUGAUAAAUUAUGGCGCUUUGCGUCGAUUAUAAAACAACUUUCAACAACGGAUCUCUUGGCUCUCGCAUCGAUGAAGAACGCAGCGAAAUGCGAUAAGUAAUGUGAAUUGCAGAAUUCAGUGAAUCAUCGAAUCUUUGAACGCACCUUGCACCCUUUGGUAUUCCGAAGGGUAUGCCCGUUUGAGUGUCAUUGUAAUCUCACACCCAAGACUUCUUGUCGAGGGAGGUGGACUUGGACGUUUGCUGCGUAACUGCGGCUCGUCUCAAAAGUGUCAGCGCGGCUCUAGAUGAAGCGUUUGAUGCCCAGUGUAAUAAGUAUUUCGCUGUGGUUAGCAUUAGUCUACGAAGCUGUUGUGCUCUCUAAUCGUCUUCGGACUGGACCAGUGAUGGUUCAUUUGACAACUUGGCCUCAAAUCGGGUAGGACUACCCGCUGAACUUAAGCAUAUCAAUAAGCGGAGGAAAAGAAACUAACAAGGAUUCCCCUAGUAACGGCGAGUGAAGAGGGAAGAGCUCAAAUUUUGAAUCUGGCGUCUUCGGCGUCCGAGUUGUAAUCUAUAGAAGUGUUUUCCGCGAUGGACCUUGCACAAGUCUCCUGGAACGGUGCGUCAUAGAGGGUGAGAAUCCCGUAUAUGGCAAGGACUCCCAUUGCUUUGUGAUACACUCUCAACGAGUCGAGUUGUUUGGGAAUGCAGCUCAAAGUGGGUGGUAAAUUCCAUCUAAAGCUAAAUAUUGGCGAGAGACCGAUAGCGAACAAGUACCGUGAGGGAAAGAUGAAAAGCACUUUG